rnacentral:lncRNA from 1 species
GAGUUUUCAUCUCUUCAAGUUUUGUUGGAUCUCAUCCUGAUGAAAGAGGAAGAUCAAAAGUUUUCAGUCACAGUGUCACCCCAAAAGGCUCUAUGAAGGAAGUUCGAUAUCAAAGAAGAUUCUUCGAAAGGGAUAACGAGGGCUUGCCUAACCGUUUUAGAUCAAAAAAUCAAAAAAAUCAAAAAACAAAGAAGAAAAAGAAAAAUCAAAAUCAAUGUCAAAAUGAAAAUGAGAGAAAAAGAAAGAAGAACGAAAAAGAGAAAAAUCUAGAUGAAAAAAAUAAAAAUAAAAAAUGAGAAAAAGAAAAGAAAAGGAGAG